ACAGUUGGCCGGAGAGCAGACGGACACCGGGCUGGUGGGCCGCGUCAUCCGCGAGGCCUGGCGCUUGAGCUCGGUGGUGCCGCUGACGGCGCGUUGCUACAGCUCGCCGUCGGCCGUCCAGGGCCACACGCUGCCGGCGCGCACGCCGAUCGUCAGCGCCCUCUGUGUGGCGAACACGGCCGCCGGCUGGGCGCGUGCCGACAGGUUUGACCCGGCC